ACGGAAGGCAGCAGUGGGGAAUAUUGGACAAUGGGGGAAACCCUGAUCUAGCGACGCCGCGUGAGUGAAGGAGUAUUUCGGUAUGUAAAGCUCUUUAAGCAGGAAAGAUAGUGACGGUACCUGCAGAAUAAGCCCCGGCUAACUACGUGCCAGCAGCCGCGGUAAUACGUAGGGGGCAAGCGUUAUCCGGAUUUACUGGGUGUAAAGGGAGCGUAGACGGCAAUGCAAGUCUGAAGUGAAAUCCCGUGGCUCAACUGCGGAAUUGCUUUGGAAACUGUAUAGCUAGAGUGUCGGAGAGGUGAGUGGAAUUCCCAGUGUAGCGGUGAAAUGCGUAGAUAUUGGGAGGAACACCGGCGGCGAAGGCGGCUCACUGGACGAUAACUGACGUUGAUGCUCGAAAGCGUGGGGAGCAAACAGGAUUAGAUACCCUGGUA
rnacentral:rRNA from 1 species